GUGCCAGCCGCCGCGGUAAUACAGAGGGUGCAAGCGUUAAUCGGAAUUACUGGGCGUAAAGCGCGCGUAGGUGGUUUGUUAAGUUGGAUGUGAAAGCCCCGGGCUCAACCUGGGAACUGCAUCCAAAACUGGCAAGCUAGAGUACGGUAGAGGGUGGUGGAAUUUCCUGUGUAGCGGUGAAAUGCGUAGAUAUAGGAAGGAACACCAGUGGCGAAGGCGACCACCUGGACUGAUACUGACACUGAGGUGCGAAAGCGUGGGGAGCAAACAGGAUUAGAUACCCUAGUAGUCC
rnacentral:rRNA from 1 species